AAACCAAACCGAAACCGCAAAAAACCGCAUUUGGUUUGGAUUCGUUUGGGUCAUUUUUUAAUAAAACCGCACGGUUUGGUUUGGUUUGCGGUUUGUAUUUUGCAAACCGAACUAAACCAAACCAAACCGCAUUAUGUUACAACCCAAAUUUUACUUAUCCCACAUCCAACCAAAACAUCAAACCUAGUAUGCCUUAACCUUACAAUUACAAACGAUUUUCUCUUACUCACGCUUAGGGUUUCAAUUUCAACCUUCUUAAAUCUCUCAUAGUAGUAUCACACAUUCUUCUCGUCUUCUUUUCCAUGUAGGUUUCGCCUAUUCUACUCUAAUAAGUCAUCUCUUAUGUUCUUUCUUUUUCAUCUUUUAUGUUACUAUUUUCUCUUUUAAUUAUAUUUUUAUCGCACCUUUCUUCUCAAUCUCGCAUCUCUUAUGUUCUUUUUUUCAUCUUCUCUAAUCUCUCAUCUCAUAUGUUUUUUAUGUUUUAUUAUAAUGUCUUCGAUAUUAUUUUAUGCUACUAUUUAUAUAUGUUUUUUAUUCCAUUUUUG
rnacentral:lncRNA from 1 species